GUGACCCUAGCAUGGGGCAUGAAACCAAGGCAGAUGCUGCAACACUGAGCAGGGAUACAGAGAUAAGUGCAAGUGCUUCCGUGUGCCAUGGACCACAUUCUGGAGACUCUGUUCAGGAUUCUCUAGAUUGUAAAAACUGCAAAUUCGAUACGGAGAAUUUGAGAGGUAAUCAUGCAAGCCAAAAAAAUGCUGUAAAAGAUAGCUGUGACUCUUUUACAAGCUUAAACAACAGUGAUGACACCUGGACCUGCUCUAGCAAAAUUUCAGCGCUUGAGACACACAUCUCACCCAGAAACCAGGAAAC
rnacentral:lncRNA from 1 species